UGAGCAAUCUGCCCUUCUCAUCGGAAUAAGCGUUGGAAACGACGUCUAAUGCCGAAUACGACCUCCUUUCGCAUGAUCGGAGGUGGAAAGCUCCGGCGGAGAAGGAUGAGCUCGCGGCCUAUCAGCUAGUUGGUGUGGGUAACGGCCCACCAAGGCGACGACGGGUAGCCGGCCUGAGAGGGUGACCGGCCACACUGGGACUGAGACACGGCCCAGACUCCGUACGGGAGGCAGCG
rnacentral:rRNA from 1 species